GCUCCUGAAUCAGCACAUAUACUAAAAUUGGAAUGACACAGCGAAGACUAGCAUGGCCCAUGCACAAGGAUGACACGCAAAUUCAUGAAGUGUUCCACUCCUCC